rnacentral:rRNA from 1 species
CAGCAGCCGCGGGAAUACGAAGGGGGCUAGCGUUGCUCGGAAUGACUGGGCGUAAAGGGCGCGUAGGCGGCGGCCAAAGUCAGGCGUGAAAUUCCCGGGCUCAACCUGGGGGCUGCGUUUGAUACUUGGUUGCUUGAGUGGGGAAGAGGGUCGUGGAAUUCCCAGUGUAGAGGUGAAAUUCGUAGAUAUUGGGAAGAACACCGGUGGCGAAGGCGGCGACCUGGUCCUUUACUGACGCUGAGGCGCGAAAGCGUGGGGAGCAAACAGGAUUAGAGACCCCUGUAGUCCCUGUCUCUUAUAC